GUUAAAUCACGUCGAUUUUGGAAGUUUCAAAAAUCAUGACGAUUAGACAUAAAAUUGUCCUGGAACUAAAAAAUAAUGGCAAUUUGGUUACUUAAUCGUCAUGAUAUAACUGACGAAGUUUAAAAAGGUUUACCUUUUCACUUCCUCGUGCAUGCAUAGUUCUUCUCUCAUCUUCCCAUUAUCAUAGCCCACUCCACCAGCACCCUAUCUUGAUUGCAAGUUUACUACAUAUCGUUCUUGCUUUCUGUCUGUGUGUUUCGUUUCUCUCAAUAACUUCUUCACCCAUCGUUCUUUCUCUUUCUUUUGCCUUCAUCACCCCAUUUCCCCAUUCAUUUUGAACCAACGAAGUGGCCACCUCGCU
rnacentral:lncRNA from 1 species